AGUUUCCCUUAUGAGAAGGAUAGAUUAAGGGAUUUUGCGUAGGUUGUUAUGGGUGAUUUAUAUGUUGUUAGGAUUAUUCAUGAGUUUGGUUUGAAAAAGAUUAUUAAGAAAAAUUGUCGUAAAGGAUCUCUAAAUUGGGAAUUGGUUAUGAUAAUGUUUUCUAGUUUAGAUUAGUUUAAGAUUGAUUAUUGAUUAUCGUUCUUGUUGUGAGGUGAUUGUUGGAAGAUGGUUUUUGGAGUGGAAUAUGUUUUGGAGAUCAAAAUGAAGGAAUCUGUGUUGUUGGAAUUGGAAUGCGUUCAGGUUUGGUGUUAUGAGCUCAUAAUUGGAAGUAGAGCAAGAUAAAGAUGUUUUGUAGAUUAAGGAUUAAGUUUGUAUUUAGAUAAUUGAUUCAGGAAUAGUUACUGAUAUUACAUUGUAUAUCAUAUUUCGGAAUUCAGUUUAA